CACCUGAAACAGUGCCUGAAAUAA
rnacentral:miRNA from 17 species